rnacentral:lncRNA from 1 species
CGAAGUGUUUCGUUAAUGAAAAAUGUGGCCUCCGUUUUAAAAAAGAUCCGACUUUCGUUUUGUUAAAACACUUUACUUUCACUAUUUUAUGAUUCUAAACUUCAUGUUAACCAAGUGUGUGUGGAAUCGUACUGAGACGAAUAUGGCCAAUGACUAAACUUGGAGUACUUUGCUGGGAUUAAGGCAAUAGACUAAAAGCAAGAUGACUUCCCCCAUCUCCACCACUUCCCAAAUGCAGAAUACCAGAAGCUGAAAUUUCUGACUAUGGGAACUAUUCUAAAAGAGGUGAAAGAAGUAGAUUGCUGUGUGGAACAGAUGAAAAAUCCUAUCCUGAGUCACUGUCUAUUUUGCUGCAGGGGAACUACCUGGACUUUGUUGCGAAAGCAAAGAGGUCUGCACAACAAUUCUUUACAAACAACUGCUCAAACCAAAAUUUUGUGGACUUAAAUGUUGACUCGCAUCUCGGACGGGGUCCAUAAUAACGACAUUGUAGAGAAUACAUUAAUUGACAAAUGUCAAUCACACCCAUUCACUGUGGCAGAUGUUGGAAAAACACAGACCAUCUGACCAAGGGAAGUGUCUUGUCUGCGAGAGUAGGCAGCAGAUUUGGCCAGGUGUUCACUUGAAAAGGUACUGUAGUGACACAGCAAUGAAGCAAUGUCAAUCUUCAUUAUUUCUGAAUGAGGUUGGCUACCCUAUUGUUGCAGAACAUCUUACUCAGAGAGAUCCAGACCGAAUCAGGCACUUCAGGUAAUAUAUUGGGUUGCUAAAUAAAUCCGUUCAUUUUUUCUAAAUGUUCUU